GGGUGAGUCCGGUUUAGGGAGAGGGAGGGGGAAAGAGAGCAGUGCGUGCACCAGAUUGCCGGUAUGAUUCCGGUGUAGAAUAAAAUGAGAAGCUUCUCGUCGUUUCUCUUGCCACUUUAUAGGAUAACGGUAUUUUACCGGCUGGAUUGGUGGAUAUGGGGGAGUUGAGCAUCAGUCACGCUGCGCAAUACGUGCUACGAUGAUUCGGAGACGGAGCGGCACUGCAACCGGUCUCUCGCUACGUCAAGGAGUGCGUGACUUCCAGCCUUCAUCUGUAUGGAAGGCUACGCGCAGCGUCAGGCGAGGCGUGUGGGUCCCCAGUGAAAAUGGAGAGGAGGAAGGAAACAAAACAAACCAAACUGAGAGCAGGCGGGGAGUAGACGUGUCACAUGACUGGAUUCUGAAAAAAUUUGAGGCAAAAAAGUGAGGGAAGAAGAGGAAGAACAAAAUUCACCAGGAGGGAGCAGCAAGAAAGCAAAACAAGGUGUCGCCCAUCUUCCUCUCUGUUUUUCUCCUCCUCCUGGUUGUGACCCUUGCCUCACCUGACUCUGUGUCCCCCUGCCUGACCGUUCUGCCCCUCCCUGAUCGAGCCUGCCUGCCGCUUUGUACUGUGUUGGACUUUGACAUGGUUAUGAACUCUUACCUGUCCCCGACCUGCCUUUUGCCUACACCUUGGAUUAUAAUAAAUAUCAGAGCUCAAACCAUCUGCCUCCCGUGUCUGCAUCUCGGUCUCGCUUUGUGUCGUUAUAUUUC